rnacentral:lncRNA from 7 species
AUGUGGGUUUUGGAUUUCUCCCAAGGCUAAUGUGGCACACCCGGGGCACUGCUCUAAUGAUGAGCUGACAUGCCUAGAGACGACUAUAUUCUGUCCUUUAAAAAGCAAUGGAGUAGCCAUGGUAGCCCCUUUGCCUCUCCUCAUAAGCUGUGGGAUCCUUCAAGAGGCAAAACAGAGAGGAAGACAGAUGUUACUGGAGGUGACAUCUCCUCUGACGCAUCACUUUAAAAAGUAAACAAUAACUACAUGGCAGAAGAGUCCAUGUGGAAGUAUGUACACCUCAAGAUCCCAGAAAGAUGCCCGACCCACUUUGUGUGCAUGACAUCACUUGAGUGCUUUACUUGCUUUCUCAUUUGCUUUGGACUCUGCACACAUGCAGCUGCCUGGGAGGAAGUCCUUGCUUGUGUUUUCUUCUAUUGUAGGCUCAGUGUCUCUGUUAUGACAGAGCAGGUUUUUACCCUGACUCAAAGUAACUGGAUAAGUCUCAGUUUCAAUCAUAAUGAUUUGCAGAGAAAACUUACAGGCAUAUAUACCUAUGCUUUAGAUGAUCCAAUGGACAACGUUCUUUGGUGUGAAGAUUGUAACUAUACCAUACAAAUCUGCAUCUCUUCAUUUCUUCCACCCUUCCCAGUCCAUCCUGUUUCUGCAGUUGUAUUUGCAUUUUCCACUGUCUUCCUUUGAUUUUUCCACUAUGUGCAAAACUAGCUUGAAUCAUCCAAAACAAAAUAAUUUGUGCCGUGCUACCAAACUGCACUGACUGCUGAUAAACAUUGUUAACC